GGAGAGGUCGCAUAGCUGGUCUAGUGCGCGCGAUUGGAAAUCGCGUAGGUGUAACAGCCUCGAGGGUUCGAAUCCCUCCCUCUCCGCCA
rnacentral:tRNA from 1 species